ensembl:lncRNA
GAACAAUUAGCCAUGGAGCACGUGUAGAAUCAAAGGGGUUAUGAGAAAUUUGCAGACGUCUUAAAUUAAGCUGAACAACCACCUCCUCUUUCAGCGGCCGCAAUGAGAGAGAUUAUAGCAGAUCAAGCCUCUGAAUCUAUUCUGUUCUUUCAUAAAUCAUAAGAAGACAUCCAAGAAGAUUCAAUUAGUCCUGCUCGCUUAACCUUGGCAGCACGGAAAUUGCACACCAAACCAGAUACCCUGAGCACAGUAUGAGAGGUAUUUACGAACGAGAUUUGAGGAGGCACUCGGUGCCAGUCAAUGGCAAACAAACUAAUAAGCAAAGCCAAAACUAAAGGGGUCCAGAUUGUUAUUAGAUAAACACGCAAAAAAAGGAGCGGUGCUUACGAGAAGACCUGGAUGCUAUUUUCAGGCCACCCAUUUACCCGAGUCCAAGCCAAACGGUAACCUUCAGAAUACAAUGUGUUGUGUGAGGCAGUGAUAAAAACCUCUUUUUAUUUAGCGCUUGUGUUUCCAGAAGGACCCCAAAAUGCAUUCUGUUAUGGAUUACCUUCAUGGCAUAACGAGCUGCCAUGUAGAAAAUGAACACCAAAGCAAGUCUUUUUCUACUGCGGCUGCAUUUUUAAUGCACUGGUUCAUUAUUUUCCCUCUAAAUAAGACUCUCAUGACUACAGAGGACUGAAUGUCACCUUUCACAAAGUUUCUGUUUAAUCAAACUACAAAGCUUCUUGGUUGCUUCAUAACAAGACAGAACUGGGCUAGAGAUAAUGACACUGAGGAAACUUCUUUUGGGUGGAGAUCAGAUUUGGCCGUCUGACCAAAAACAGUGACGAGUAAAUUCACUGAUUUUGUUGAACUUGGACACAACCUGACAACUUCAGCAUGUUCACUAGAGAGGCAUCCGUCAAAUCACGUGCACGGUCGGUUUAAAUUCAGCUGCACUGCAUCAAUUCAGGUAUGGCUUUUGUCACAAUUUAGGCUGUCUGAAUCGAUGCAGACAUCACUUUCUGGAAAACCCUCACAACACAGCCAUAUCUUGUUUUUAUCUUUCAGCCUAAUCAUGCUAUUUGCUGGAGGCUGGCAACCCACUCCUUUCAAACCAAUAAAAUUGUCUCUGCCAGAGUUGUCAAGUCUGUGAGAGCUUUUGUCGGAGCGGAGUUGUUAAUCACAGAUUUAAAAAAAAAAAAAAAAACGGUCCCAGUCAACUGAUUAAACUAACAGACAGGUAGAAAAUCCCCAAGCUGAGUCUGAAAACUCUCAGCAAACUAUCCAGAGAGAAACACUUCACACUUCAGUCUCAGAUUCCCUUAUUCACCUCCAGCUAACAUUAGCAAACAUGAGCAGUAGCUACAUGUUCUUCUAUGCUGCCGCUGCAGGCUGAAUCCAUUUCUUAAGCCACAACAUAAUGUAAAAGGAAAAAAAUCCAAUUAAUUUCUUUUUAAAAAAUCGGCAUUUGUUUUGUUAGUCUCAACAGACAAGAUACUGUAAUAGAUGUCAUGGUCAUGUAACCAAAGAUGGCACAUGUUAAAAGCACAGCACCAACAUAUGACAUGUUCUUCGCACCCCUAAUAGAACUACCAGAUUAUCAAAUCGUA